AACCCCGUGGAUAGAUUUGUGAUGAUUGCAACCACGAGAAAAAAUGCUAAACCGUUCGUC
rfam:Porphyromonas sp. COT-239_OH1446 contig_30, whole genome shotgun sequence.